rnacentral:lncRNA from 10 species
AGUGCAGCUGAAUGGACUCUCUAGGACGAUCGCAUAGUACUGAUUGCAGUAGGAGUCGGUGGGCCUCGAGUAGGUGGGCCUCCGUAGGGAGCCAGCGUGGAUCGAGUGCGGGGCCUGGACUUCCCGCCCCCUCCGCACUGCAGACUCUGCGGUGAUUUAAAGGUGCCUGGCGGUGGUACGGGAUCCAACUGUAAAAUGUCAUCCCAGCUAGUGUGACAUCACCACAGUUUAGUGUGACACCCCCAGAGCUUGGGCAGUGUACGGGACGACAGUGCCUAGCAGAGGAGCUUCACUGCCGGUGAGGGAUUACCUCAGAAACUUCCUUCUACUACUUAAAGUCCUCACAUUGGGCUGACCUGGGAAACAUGAAGAUAAAAAGAGUGGGUAAACAUGCCUGCUUGAUGAGCCAGAAAAAAAGGCAGAAACCUGUGGUCUGGGUAGAACAGAUCCUGCUCAGAAUGUAAGCUUCAAACAUGUUUAUCAUGCCUUGGUUCAACCUAACUCUCUGACAUGUUCCUAAACUCCUGCUCUCUCAAGUUAUGUCCCUUUCCUCUUUUCAAAUAUCUCUCAGAAUUCACCCUUUCGGGAACCUUUGCUGAUUGACUCCUAUUUUAUUUGAAUUCUGCAUCAUCAUCUGAUUACUUAAAUUAACCUGUACCUUCUUUAUUUAUACUUGUUAACUUCUAUUUUCAUUGCUCUUAGGUCCUCAGUCUUUCUCACUAUACGGAGAGCUUCUUAAAGUCUGUAUUUUCUCCUCUUUAGUAUCAUUCACUCAUUCAUCCAGCAAACUGCUUGUGUGCCUGCUCUGUGCUAUACACUCUUCUAGACACUGGGUCAGGUAUGAAUGAGACAGGUGAAUAAAGCAUGGUCUUUUCCCUCAGGGACCUUACAGUCUAAUGAGGAAAAAACGUGUGCAGACAUAUAUAAGAUAAGUGAGAGAGUCGGAGAAGAACAUCAGAAGUGAUAUUUGAGCAUAGUAAGGUCAAAGAAGUUUCAAAGUUUAGUCAUUUGUCCAUUCAGUAACUAUUUAUAGAGCAUCUUCUGUGUGCUAGGCACUAUAUAAGAAAUU